CGUAUAAAAUGAAUGAGGACAUGCACCU
rnacentral:piRNA from 1 species